GAACAGUGAAGAGAGACAGUAGCUCCUUCCUCUGAAGAUUCUGUUCAGAAUGGAUAAAGGUUCAGCAUCCUCCUUGGAUGGGCCAGCUUAGCAGCACUAAGAACAGUGCCCUAUACAGAGUUGGUAUUCGGUACUUGUUGAAUGAAUGUGUGAGCAAAUGAAACCAGAGGAACACAGCAUACACACCACUCAUAGGAAGCCCUGCACUAGCAAAUUACGAGCUUGUCUCCAAGGUCAUCUCAAGAUGGCAAGAGAGAGGGACAGAAACAGAGGGGAACAGAGAACUGACUGGCUGUGAAUACAGACCCAGAGAAAAGCACUGGGAGGAAUGAGAAAGUAGCAACUAGACAAAAAUGAAAACUCUUUAAGAAGCAUUGCUGAAGUUACAGG